GCGGGGGGUGGGGGCGUUAACGGUGUCUUCUCCCCACAAAUGAAAGAGAAAUAGUAAAUUCUCCUGCGGGUGGCGAAUCAGGAGGGAAGGUUUUGGCAGAGUUCAAAGACUGGGAAGCAAAGUUCAGCCAUGUUGGGCCUUUGGGCUCAUAGAUGAGCAAGGGUACCCCAAUAUGAGGGCUCAGCAAAUUCUGGAACUUAUCAGUUCUGAAGACCUUUAGAGGAGAAGGAGACAAGUAAAAGGUAUGUAGUCCUGGAGGGCGCUGCUUAAUGAACCAGAAGUCCUGCCUCUUAAGUACCUCACCAGCUCAAAUGUGUGCAUGUCACCUUGGCGUGAAUCGGAGCAGGCGCUGGUGGAUACCGUUUGGAGGCAUGCCAGCAAGGAGCUCCUUGUGUAGCCUGCCUCUGGAGCCUCAAGUUCAACUUCCAUAGGGCCAAAAGGGGAGUCGGGCUGGGCAGAAGCUCCUGAGAACCAAAGCAAAUGGUCUGAGAGUCUGAGAGUGUAGUGGAGGUAACGUGUUCGUGUCCUCUCUGGCUGCAUCACCCCAAGUCCUUGCAGACUCAAGUAGCCUAUUUGCAAGUUUAAAUAGUUUGAGUCCUGGCCGGUAACAAGAAUACUCUACAGUGGCCCAGAGUCAGGGAUAUAGAGUGGCGACUACUUGGCAGAACUGGAGCUUGCUCAGAUGAAAAGAUAAAUUGUACUGGUUAAACGAAGAUCAAGUGCAGGGUCUGGACUUUGUUUCUAUCUUUCAUGUGGACUCUAUAAGCACCUACACACAGCAUUCUAGAAACACUGCUCCCAUCCCUCCUGUCUCAUGUCAUCCUCCCAAUUCCGGGAGUUGGGGGGCAUACUCUUUCCCUGUGUCAUGUGAGAAAUUCCUUUCUCAUGGGAAGCAGGUGGCAUUCCUGGACUCUCCUUGGCCUGGCCGUUGGUAAGCACAGGAAUUCAAGGUGUCUGAAUCUCUUGUCAAAGGUGGGCUGUAAGGCUCCAGAAGAGGAGGACAGAAAGUGCCUGCAGAGCUCCUGCCUGAGGCCUUUGGAUGGGCCCUGCUGGCUUGCCGUGUGUGUGUGUGUGUGUGUGUGUGUGUGUGUGUGUGUGUGGUGUCGUGCUUAUUUGCCCCAAAUGAGGCAAGAGAGCAGUGAUCAGGUGUCUCCCCAGCAUCUAGUUUCAUGAAGACAAUAGAAGUGGGUCGGAUCAGGCCUGCUGCCAUGCUUGGCUUGCCCAUGUCUCCUAGGAUUGGCUGCCUGGUGGCCAUCCCUUUGCCAUCCCCUUGACUGCCCUGUGAAUGAUGUCCACUCUGAGACCCCAGGCCACUCAGAAAAACUGAAGAUUCUCAAGUUCAGGUGCAGUUAGGGGGCAGGUCCUGGUGGUGGGGGAGCUUUGAUGUUCUGCAGUUGGAGGAUCCUCUUUCAGAAUAGUAAUGCAAUUUGUGAAUUAAUAAAAUUAGGUAUGCAAGAGGAUAUGUAGAAAAGAAAAAUCACAAGCUACACAAUUUUUAAGUUGACAAAACUACGAACAUCACAAAAUAAUAUGAUAUUUUAAAUUAAUUAUCUGCCUGGAAUACUCUGUCAUUUUUUUUUGAUCUUUUGCCUGCAUCGUCUUUGAUAGCAGUGUUUUUGAUAUUGCUUUUUAUAGAGAGACUCAAGAUAAUGGAGUCUACUCUGUUGUGGUUAAUUAAACAUUUUUUGGUGU
rnacentral:lncRNA from 1 species